CCUACGGGAGGCAGCAGUGGGGAAUCUUGCGCAAUGGGCGAAAGCCUGACGCAGCAACGCCGCGUGCGGGAAGAAGGCUUUCGGGCUGUAAACCGCUUUCAGCAGGAACGAAAAUGACGGUACCUGCAGAAGAAGGAGCGGCCAACUAUGUGCCAGCAGCCGCGGUGAUACAUAGGCUUCAAGCGUUGUCCGGAUUUAUUGGGCGUAAAGAGUUCGUAGGCGGUCAAGUAAGUCGGGUGUGAAAAUUCUGGGCUCAACCCAGAGACGCCACCCGAUACUGCUUAACUUGAGUUCGAUAGGGGAGUGGGGAAUUCCUAGUGUAGCGGUGAAAUGCGCGGAUAUUAGGAGGAACACCGGUGGCGAAGGCGCCACUCUGGAUCGAUACUGACGCUGAGGAACGAAAGCAUGGGUAGCAAACAGGAUUAGAUACCCUGGUAGUCCAUGCCGUAAACGGUGGGCACUAGGUGUGGGUUUCUAUUAACGAAAUCCGCGCCGUCGCUAACGCAUUAAGUGCCCCGCCUGGGGAGUACGGUCGCAAGACUAAAACUCAAAGGAAUUGACGG
rnacentral:rRNA from 1 species